rnacentral:rRNA from 1 species
GACGAACGCUGGCGGCGUGCCUAAUACAUGCAAGUCGAACGCAGUGGGGACGGGUGAGUAACACGUGGGUAACCUCCCAUCAGAGGGGAUAAGACUUGGAAAAAGGUGCUAAACCGAGACGGAUGGCUGGACGCGGGGGGCAUUAGCUAGUUGGUGAGGUAACGGCUCACCCAGGCCACGAUGCAUAGCUGACCUGAGAGGAUGAUCGGCCAACCUGGGACUGAGACACGGCCCAGACUCCUACGGGAGGCAGCAGUGGGGAAUCUUGCGCAAUGGACGCAAGUCUGACCGAGCCACGCCGCGUGAGUGAAGAAGGUUUCCGGGUCGUAAAACUCUUUUGUUAGAGAAGCGGUAUCUAACCAGAAAGCCACGGCUAACUACGUGCCAGCAGCCGCGGUAAUUC